rnacentral:rRNA from 1 species
AACAGGAUUAGAUACCCUGGUAGUCCACGCUGUAAACGAUGUCGACUUGGAGGUUGUUCCCUUGAGGAGUGGCUUCCGGAGCUAACGCGUUAAGUCGACCGCCUGGGGAGUACGGCCGCAAGGUUAAAACUCAAAUGAAUUGACGGGGGCCCGCACAAGCGGUGGAGCAUGUGGUUUAAUUCGAUACAACGCGAAGAACCUUACCUACUCUUGACAUCCAGAGAACUUAGCAGAGAUGCUUUGGUGCCUUCGGGAACUCUGAGACAGGUGCUGCAUGGCUGUCGUCAGCUCGUGUUGUGAAAUGUUGGGUUAAGUCCCGCAACGAGCGCAACCCUUAUCCUUUGUUGCCAGCGGUUAGGCCGGGAACUCAAAGGAGACUGCCAGUGAUAAACUGGAGGAAGGUGGGGAUGACGUCAAGUCAUCAUGGCCCUUACGAGUAGGGCUACACACGUGCUACAAUGGCAUAUACAAAGAGAAGCGACCUCGCGAGAGCAAGCGGACCUCAUAAAGUAUGUCGUAGUCCGGAUUGGAGUCUGCAACUCGACUCCAUGAAGUCGGAAUCGCUAGUAAUCGUGGAUCAGAAUGCCACGGUGAAUACGUUCCCGGGCCUUGUACACACCGCCCGUCACACCAUGGGAGUGGGUUGCAAAAGAAGUAGGUAGCUUAACCUUCGGGAGGGCGCUUACCACUUUGUGAUUCAUGACUGGGGUGAAGUCGUAACAAGGUAACC